rnacentral:rRNA from 1 species
UACGUAGGGGCCGAGCGUUGUCCGGAGUUAUUGGGCGUAAAGCGCGCGCAGGCGGCCUCGCGCGCCCGACGUGAAAGCCCCCGGCUUAACCGGGGAGGGUCGUUGGGGACGGCGGGGCUUGAGGGCGGGAGAGGGCGGUGGAAUUCCCGGUGUAGUGGUGAAAUGCGUAGAGAUCGGGAGGAACACCUGUGGCGAAGGCGGCCGUCUGGGCCGGCCCUGACGCUGAGGCGCGAAGGCGUGGGGAGCGAACGGG